GGAGGGCGCAAGCGUUGUUCGGAAUNANUGGGCGUAAAGCGCGUGNAGGCGGUCUGNUCAGUCGNNUGUGAAAUNCCGGAGCUCAACUCCGGAACUGCAUUCGAUACUGCCAGGCUAGAGUCCCGGAGAGGGUGGUGGAAUUCCCGGUGUAGAGGUGAAAUUCGUAGAUAUCGGGAGGAACACCUGCGGCGAAGGCGGCCACCUGGACGGUGACUGACGCUGAUACGCGAAAGCGUGGGGAGCAAACAGGAUUAGAUACCCUGGUAGUCCACGCCGUAAACGAUGGGUGCUAGGUGUUGGGGCUAUUGACCCACUCGGUGCCGCAGCUAACGCAUUAAGCGCCCCGCCUGGGGAGUACGGUCGCAAGGCU
rnacentral:rRNA from 1 species